UACGAAGGGGGCUAGCGUUGUUCGGAAUCACUGGGCGUAAAGGGCGCGUAGGCGGCUUCUCAAGCGUGUGGUGAAAGUCCGGGGCUCAACCCCGGAUCGGCCGUGCGGACUGGGGAGCUCGAGUUCUGUAGAGGCGGGUGGAAUUCCGGGUGUAGCGGUGGAAUGCGUAGAGAUCCGGAGGAAGACCGGUGGCGAAGGCGGUCUGCUGGGCAGUUUCUGACACUGAUGCGCGACAGCGUGGGGAGCAAACAGG
rnacentral:rRNA from 1 species